ACCGCAGAAACUUUUACCGUCCUCAAAUGUUCCCAGAAUAUGAAGUUGAGCGAGCUGAAAUGUGCCUUGGAAAUGGUGGCAGGGAUUCCGAUGGACCUUCAGCGACUCAGCUAUCUGGACCAAGGAGAUUUAAUAGACCAGACAACCAUUGACCAGAAUGACAUUAUUCCUGGCACCACUGUCAACAUGGCAAUUUGGCCUUAUAACAGGUGGCGAGAAGUUGUGCAAGCUGCUGUAUCAGGAGAUGUCUUGAAGCUGAAGAGUUUGUUGUGCAGGCGGACUGUAGUGAAUGGGCGUGGAGAUGAGGGGAGUUACUGGCGGUCUCGCCACCUGUCCACCGCCCUCUACAUCUGUGCCCACCGUGGGCACCUGCCAGCACUACGCUUCCUCUUGCAUAGCGGUACAGCCUC
rnacentral:lncRNA from 1 species